CCUACGGGAGGCAGCAGUGGGGGAUAUUGCACAAUGGGGGAAACCCUGAUGCAGCAACGCCGCGUGAGGGAAGAAGUAUUUCGGUUUGUAAACUUCUUUUAGCAGGGAAGAAAAUGACAGUAUCUCACCAAGAAGCACCGGCUAACUACGCGCCAGCAGCCGCGGUAAUACGGAGGGGGCAAGCGUUAUCCGGAUUUACUGGGUGUAAAGGGAGCGUAGGCGGGGUUGUAAGUCUGAUGUGAAAGCUCGUGGCUUAACCCCAGAACUGCAUUUGAAACUGUGUAACUGGAGUACUGGAGAGGCAGACGGAAUUCCUGGUGUAGCGGUGAAAUGCGUAGAGAUCAGGAGGAACACCAGUGGCGAAGGCGGCCUGCUGGACUGCAACUGACGUUGAGGCGCGAAAGCGUGGGGAGCAAACAGGAUUAGAUACCCGAGUAGUC
rnacentral:rRNA from 1 species